rnacentral:lncRNA from 1 species
GAGAAUAUGCUGGACUGGCCACUAUCCGAGCCUACUUAAACCAGAAAGGAGAGGGGCACAGAACGGUUUGCCUCAUUCCGAAAUCAGCACAUGGGACCAACCCAGCAAGUGCCCACAUGGCAGGCAUGAAGAUUCAGCCUGUGGAGGUGGAUAAAUAUGGGAAUAUCGAUGCAGUUCACCUCAAGGCCAUGGUACUUGUCUUCUCCUUAGCAGAUGGGAGAGGCCGGGAUGGGGAGUGCUGGUGGGGAUCAGGGACUUGAUGGAUUAUGUAAAUGUCUUCUCUUGCAUUCUAAUGAAAAGUCUGCAGUUCUUCCUUUGACCAGAGUCUACUCUACCCCUCCCAUCACCAACAGGGAGAAAUCCCCGUUUUCUAAUUCCAGCUUGUGUAAAAAACUGAAUGAAUUAUUCAUGGUGGUAGUAAGAGUACUCCUUGCAGAACCUGCCUGCCUCUUUCUGCCCAAUCUUCCCUCUCCUUCUCGCCUUCCCCACUUAAUAAUCAAAAUGGCAGUCACACUUACACAUCUUCGUGUCAGGAAUUGUAACACAAAUGUCAGCUUUGCAAAUAUCCAUGACUGUGCCAGCCCCAUCAUGCUGAAUUCCUGGCAUCAUGCAGCUUGGUUUCCACCAACCCCCACUCUCAACCUCCCAACCUCCAGGAAGAAGUUGCUUAGCAACCGUAUCUGCUUCCCACCAGCGGACUGGCAGCUGCAUCUUAAGCGGGAAGGAAACCAGUGGAAUAGCAAUGUGAUUUUGAUGGUGGUGUUAUUAGGCAUGGAGACUGUGAACUCUGUGCAGUUGCCUU